rnacentral:lncRNA from 10 species
GGAGCGCGGUGGGGGGAUAGCUGGAGCAACCAGUCAGGGAACGGCCUACUGUUUGCUUACAGAUUGGGGGUUUUUCCUCUCUCUUUACUCCAACCGGAUUGGUUUGCUCCACGAGAAAGAGGCGUUUUCCUAAUCUCCCUUCCCCACGCCUCCUACCCCCUCCCCCGCCCCACCUUCUAGAAACCUGACUAAUUGAAUUACUGGGAGUGCCGAGGCGCCCUCUCCUGCGCCGGAGCCCGGCAGCCACGUGUAACCCUUUGGGUGCUGAAUUCCGUCUGGGCUAAGGAAUGAUUUGACAUCUUUUUACCUGGGAGUAGGGUCUUUCGAUUUUAAAGGAACCUGUGCCCACCCUUUGGCUGGAGAGCCGGCAUCUGUCUCUGGUGCCCCGCAGGUGACGGAUGGGCUGGAACGGAGCCUCAGGGAGUGCGCGUUCCUGUCCAUUCCACCCGCUCUCCACGCCGCACGCUGCCUGGCGCUGGGUUAUCUGGAAGUCUGAGCACCCCUCCUGUGCCUUUCAGCCCUCCUCUUCCCACUUGGGAUUUAAAGAUUCUUGGGCAGGAAGCAAGUUUUCUUUAAAGUGAUGCUCUGAAAACACGUUUUUAAAAAUCAGGCAAAUCACAGUUUAAAGUGAUUACAAUUCAGCGCGAACCUUCCACAGAGAGGAAAUGAAUGCGGCAGACGAGCCCUUCAGAAAUAACCUCACACCUCUUCCAUUUCAACCUUGAGGGUGAUUUGCUGCCCACUCCCCAAAGAAUAAACGCCUUUAUCGAACCCGGUGCGGAAAGAAAUGAGGGCCGGGGGCGGGGGCUGUGGGAAGAAAAGCAGUUCCUUUAUUGUUGGAAAAGGCCCCUCGGUCCUGGACUUCAAGGGCAGUUUACUUUUGCUCCCACACCUG